AGUUUGCACACUGAAAUGUAUACCUGUGACACAAACUUGUGUGACUGAGUGAAGGAGGAACUUCGUGGCUUUUUUCACUACUGUCAGAAAUCAGUGAAAACAUGAAAAGGUAGUAAUUCUAGGAGCACCAGCCUACGUCCUUUGACAAAGUGAGAUGCUUGAGUUCUGGAAUGCUCUGCCCCUACGUCCUUUGACAAAGUGAGAUGCUUGAGUUCUGGAAUGCUCUGCCCCUAGAUGGAGUGGCAGGGUCUUCUGUUCCCGGAGAGGUGGGUCCCCUGAGUGCCAGGGGCUGCGCAUCCGGUGGCCGUGAGCAAUCCUGGCGGCCAAGGACUCCACGCUGUACUCUUGGGAAUGAGACGAAGGUCCGCGUGUGUCCUCGACCUGGAGAAGGAAGGAGGGGCCCCCGGCAUGCAGGUGAUUUCGCAGGUUUGGACAGAGCUGCUCGGGGCCCCCAGGGUGCUGAAAAGAGCGUCCAGUGACAUGCAGAAGUGAGGGGGCAAAGCUCACCCCAAACCCACGUGUCUUCAAAUUACUAGGUGAUCCAGCGACCCUGCUUCUGAGUAAAUGCCCCAAAGGACUGAAAGCAGAUAUCAGCACCCUGUUCAUGGCAUUGGCCAACAAGUAGCCGAAAGGUGGAGACACCCCAGGUGUCCCUCCAUGGAUGAAGGCAUAAGCAGAAGUGUGGUCUGUCUGCGUGCUGGGAUGUCACUCAGCCUUACAAAGGGCGGGACUUCCGGCACUCAUCCACGCAGGGUGGUAGGCUGUCACAAAAGGGCAAAUACCUAUCCUUUCACUUAUACUGGGGACCCAAAGUAGUCACGGUCCUAGAUCCAGAACAGAGGUGUGGCUGGCAGGGUCUGAGGGAAGAGGGGGAAGGGGGAGUUAGUGUUUAAAGGGCCAGGGUUUGUUUGGGAAGAAAACAGGUUCUGGAGAUGGGUGGUGGUGGAGGCUGUGCAGCACUGUGGGUGUACUUAAUGCCCCUGAACUGUAUGCUUUGCAGUGGCUAAAAUGGCAAAGUUUACGUUAUACAUAUUUAACCACAUUGGAAAGAAAGUGACAAGAAAGGAAGGGGCAUCUUGGAAAAAUAUUUAGGGGAAAAAAGCAUCACAGUAGGAGUAGAUUUUGAAGGCAUCUUGCCUGUCGUUCAUUCCAGCCCCCUAGACACCAGCUGUGUGAUUUUGAGCAGGUUGCUUGCCCUCUCUGUGCCCAGAUUCCUCACCUGCAAAAUGGGAAUGCUACUGUACUUAUUGAUUAUGGUUAUUGUGAUGCUGAAAGGAGAUGACAUGGGUCAGUGCUCAGUAGAGGGCCUCGCACAGAAUAAUUACUGGCCGUCAGGUCAGAGAGGGUAACCGCCACGGACUCACUCACUUCUAGUAAACAGCGAGCGCUUCCUGCCAGAAGCGCGCCCGCCUGUCUCCAGGGCCAGCCUUCCGCACCGUCAGUCUGCGCACAAGCCACACAGCUUGUUAUUGGUUUAACUCACCCGACGGCCGAGUGCUGCAGCCUUUGGGAGGAAACCACUGCACGUAAAGAUGAUCAGAAAAUUCAGUUAACAAAUUUCAAGGUGUCAGAACACUGCCGAUGUUUGACUUCCUGUCGACGCAGUGGGAGGGUGGGAGUAUAUGACUUACAAAUAUGAAUGUUUUAAAGUACCAUGUAGAGAAGGCAGCACCCGAUACCCUGAUUCUGAAGCCACUGCUCUGUCAGUUAGAGUUACAUCCUUCCUCUUGACGACCAGCCAAGUAGGUGAACUUUCAUUCUCACUGAGUGUCUACCUAAGCGAAAGCCGCCUCCUCAGGGGCUGAAAAUGCAGAGAAUAGUGCCAGACACGCCGCUUGCUGCGGGAGUGAGACUUCUAAACCUAGAAUCCUAGCAUCGUGUCAUGAGGACACCCAGUGUAUGGGCGUGAGUAAGCCUGCCCAGGGCCCUGGGGGGAGGGCUUUCGGGGAUGCAUAGGAGUUCGCCAGCGCGCAGGCUCCCGGGUACGGUGAGAAAGCACACCCCCAGCAGAGGACGUGACACACACCGGCGGUUCUCGAAAUUCCGUGUGGCUUCAGAAGCAUCCAGAAGGGUUAUGAACACACAGAUCACGGAUCCCCACCCUGCAUUUCUGAUUCGGUGCAUGCGGGGUGGGGCCUGAGAAUCUUUGUCUCUGUCAAGUCCCCAGGGGAUGCUGAGGCGGAUGCCGUUGCCCUAGGGAGCACGCUCUGGGAGCUGCGGAUUUACCCGGAGGCCUGGAGCAUGAAGUCGCCGCGUGUGCUUGGGGGAACCGUAAGUAACGCAGUGUCGCUGGGGGCUGGAGUGUCUGCACGGUGUGGUUAGAGAGCUGGGAGGGUGCUCAGUGCACGGAGCUGAGGGCGAGGGGGCGAGCACCGCUGUGACCCCGGCGGCCGCGGGCACCGUCCCAGGGCGCAGGCGCCAUCCAGCCCACUUUACAGGCGAGGCAAGUGUGCAGCACGGGUGAUUGGAGAGAGAGAGAUGCAGGAGGCAGGGCACCCCAGACUCUGGGGCUGAGAGGGUACAGGUGAGCAACACUGGGAUUUUAAAUUUGGGGACAGAUCCUGGGUGACACCGAUCCACAGGACAGGGAGGUCCGGGGAGGCGGGUUUGUAAGUGUUUCAUCCGCACCGUGGGAGCAGAUAAACGCCCUGUUUCCCCCAGUUAAGACUCCUGUCUUGGGGCGCCUGGGGGGCUCAGUCGGUUAAGCGUCCGACUUCGGCUCAGGUCAUGAUCUCGCGGUUCUCGAGUUCGAGCCCCGUGGCGGGCUGCGCUGACCGCUCAGAACCUGGAGCCUGCCUCAGGUUCUGUCUCCCUCUCCGCCCCGCCCCUGCUUGUACUGUCUCUCUCUCUCUCUCUCUCUCUCUCUCUCUCUCUCUCUCAAAAUUAAAUAAACAUUAAAAAAAUUUUUAGAAGACUCAUUUCUCCCUCUCUGCUAAAAUUGGCCACUCUUGUUGGCAACGAUGUAAUGCCGGCUGUGGUCACAAGGGGGCACUUGUUUGCUUUGCACGAUUUAAAUUUGUCAGGCUCCACAGAGGUCAGAAUACAAGGUUCUUCCAGAAAAUACAUCUUCUUUUGAGAUUUCCCCUCACUGUUUUCCAUUCUGUUGAGUUUAACGGUGACAUGUGUUCAGUGGUCACUGGAUAUCCACCGAAUGAACACCCCCCAUGUCUAAUCCACCGUGAGUGGCAAAGAAGUGACAUGUUUUCCUGGCCUGUAGCUCUCAUGACCUAGUUAGCUGGGAGGCUAAUGCGGCCACAGCACAUCUUGCUUGAAGCCAGAGGAACGGUGUAGACACACAAGGGUGUGAGCCAGCCCUGGGACAUUCCAGAACGACGCAAGUGGCCGGAAGGUACUGGAACACAGGAGCUGUUUAAAAGGGAGGCCGAGGGGAUGCAGUG
rnacentral:lncRNA from 1 species